rnacentral:rRNA from 1 species
AGGAUUCCUUGAGUAACUGCGAGUGAAGAGGAUGAGCCCAGCACCGAAGCCUCUGUCGAUAUUUGGCAGUUGUGCAAUGUGGUGUAAGGGAAGGUACGUUCCAGUGGGGUGCCAGGUGUCUAAGUCCCCCUGACUGGGGCCAUGACCCUCGGAGGGUGCAAGGCCCGUGUGGCCCGGCAUGUCUCUGUUCCCCACUGGUCUGACCUUUCCCAGGAGUCGGGUUGCUUGAGAGUGCAGCCCUAAGUGGGUGGUAAACUCCAUCUAAGGCUAAAUACUUGACACGAGACCGAUAGCAAACAAGUACCGUGAGGGAAAGUUGCAAAGAACUUUGAAGAGAGAGUUCAAGAGUGCGUGAAACCGUUCGGAGGUAAACGGGUGGGACCUCGAAGGUCGAACGGAUGGGGCUGGAUUCAACCCGUUGCCAUGAUGCCCGAGAACGAGCAGUUUUAAUCUGCUAGGAUUUGUUUCAUUUCCUUGCGGAAAUGCUCUUCUCGUGUUUUGCAGAUUGGAUUCCGACGGGUGCAUUUCCUGUUUCCCCCUUCCUAGUAGGACGCUGCGACCGGUUGGAAAUUUUUUGAACGCGGGAGACCAGAAGCGGGGCCAAUUGGUAGCUGCACGGUGUAGGUCGGCUCUCGGGUCGCUUCCGGUUGUCUGACCAGGCCACGGCGUAGUGUCUCUCUUUCCGACCGAGGAAACGUAUUUGGUUUUCCUGCAAGGAGCCAUACGAACGUACCCGCUUGCCGCUUCGGCGGUCGAGCUCGGGCAGACCGAGCCUACCGGGUGGCGCUUGGCGUCCGGGCGUCGAGGCUCUUCGUGGCUUCCGCUCGUUUGACGUUCCUCGCGCCUACCGACAGCGAAGGGCGCAGGCUCCCGUAUUUUUCGGGUAUGCCGGAGGUUCAGCAGCGAGUAGGUUGGUAACCCACCCGACCCGUCUUGAAACACGGACCAAGGAGUCUAACAUGCUUGCAAGUCUUCGGGGUCUGACAAACCCUAAGGAGGCGCAAUGAAAGUGAAGGUCGAAUUUGAUUCGCCUAGGCAAGAUCCCUUCGGCUUUUAUCGGCCGUCGGGCGCAGUGCCGGCCCGCCCUAUGGUCGCUACGCGAUCGGGCGGAGCUAGAGCAAGUACGUUGGUACCCGAAAGAUGGUGAACUAUGCCCGGGCAGGACGAAGCCAGAGGAAACUCUGGUGGAAGUCCGUAGCGAUUCUGACGUGCAAAUCGAUCGUCGGACCUGGGUAUAGGGGCGAAAGACUAAUCGAACCAUCUAGUAGCUGGUUCCCUCCGAAGUCUCCCUCAGGACAGCUGGCGCUCUAAAACGCAGUUUCAUCCGGUAAAGCGAAUGAUUAGAGGAACUUGGGGUCGAAACGACCUCAACCUAUUCUCAAACUUUCAAUGGGUGAGAGGACCGGUAUUCUUGACUGAAAUCCGGUAUCCAUCGCGCGAAUGCGAGUUGCCAAGUGGGCCACUUUUGGUAAGCAGAACUGGCGCUGUGGGAUGAACCAAACGCUGGGUUAAGGCGCCCGAUGCGGACGCUCAUGAGACCCCAUGAAAGGUGUUGGUUGCUAUAGACAGCAGGACGGUGGCCAUGGAAGUCGGAAUCCGCUAAGGAGUGUGUAACAACUCACCUGCCGAAGCAACUAGCCCUGAAAAUGGAUGGCGCUCCAGCGUCGAGCCUAUACCCGGCCGCUGGUGGCAUUUGCCCGAUGCCCCAGCGAGUAGGAGGGUCGUGGCGGUGUACGUUGAAGGUGUCAGGCGCAAGCCUGCCUGGAGUCGCCGCCAGUGCAGAUCUUGGUGGUAGUAGCAAAUACUCAAGUGAGACACCUUGAGGACCGAAGUGGAGAAGGGUUCCAUGUGAACAGCAGUUGAACAUGGGUCAGUCGGCCCUAAGGAAUGGGAUAAUUCCGUUCCGAUCGGUCGGGCGUUUUUGCCCGCUAGACCGAAAGGGAAUCCGGUUAAUAUUCCGGAACCAGGCUACAGGGAUCGGUUCUGUGCUCUACCCUGGUCACUCGUGGCUGGGCGGGCCGGAACCCGUGGCGGUAACGCAAACAGGCUCGGAGACUGGCGGUGGGGGCCCCGGGAAGAGUUUUCUUUUCUUUGUAAGGGACGGACUCCAUGGAAUCGGCUUGCCCGGAGAUAUGGACGUUGUUCCCGCAAAGCACCGCGGCUCUUGCGGUGUCCGGUCCACUUCCACCGUCCCGUGAAAAUCCGAGUCUGCGACAUGAUCUUUGUGCCUGACCGUACCCAUAUCCGCAGCAGGUCUCCAAGGUGAACAGCCUCUGGUCGAUAGAUCAAUGUAGGUAAGGGAAGUCGGCAAGCCAGAUCCGUAACUUAGGGAUAAGGAUUGGCUCUGAGGGCUGGGCCGAACGGGCUGGAGUUGGAAGCGAGUGUGGGCACCGCAGCGGGGCUGGGCGAGCCAUUCUCCUGCCUAAGUGUCGUGCGCUUCCUUCGUGGGGCGCCGAUUGCUGGAACGGAGUUUUGCGAGCUCGGACCUGGCGACGGGACCUUCUCGUGGAAAGCACCAGCUGCGCCGCAUUGGAUUCGAAGGUCGACUUUGGUGAAACACCCCUUCGCGGGGGCUGCGAACUGGGUCGCCCUUCCCGGUGCUGGCUUCGUCCGGUGUGCAACAGCCGACUCAGAACUGGCACGGACCAGNNNNNNNNNNNNNNNNNNNNNNNNNNNNNNNNNNNNNNNNNNNNNNNNNNNNNNNNNNNNNNNNNNNNNNNNNNNNNNNNNNNNNNNNNNNNNNNNNNNNAGCGAUUGGAUGUUCACCCACUAAUAGGGAACGUGAGCUGGGUUUAGACCGUCGUGAGACAGGUUAGUUUUACCCUACUAAUGACUCGUCACUGCGAUAGUAAUCCUGCUCAGUACGAGAGGAACCGCAGGUUCGGACCGGUGGUCCUUGUGCUUGGCCGAACGGCCAGUGGUGCGAAGCUACCAUCCGUUGGAUUACGACUGAACGCCUCUAAGUCGGAAUCCAAACUAGUCAAUGCAGUGAUACUGUGCGUGCCUCGUGUGCCUUGGAUGGCUAUGCCAGGUGAGCGUUUCUACUUAGUGCUGGAGUGUCGGCUCUUUGCGAUUUAUCGUGAGGAACUGCACCACCUGACAGGUAGCUCGCCACCAGCUAUGCCCGUCUCGAGGAGGAAAACUUACGGUCUUGGUACAGUGAGUCCCGUACCGACCUUCCUCGUUCUUGGAACGUUGGAAUGCAAUGUCGAGGUGCCAAAUCGUCUGUAGACGACUUACGUACCAGUCGGGGUGUUGUACUUAGUAGAGCAGCUCCCACACUGCG